UGCUUUCACUACUGUAAGUCGGUCUGGAUAAGAGCGUCUGCUAAAAUGACUAAAA
rfam:Salmo salar isolate Sally breed double haploid chromosome ssa09, whole genome shotgun sequence.